AUACGAAAGGUGCAAGCGUUGUUCGGAUUUACUGGGCGUAAAGAGAGUGUAGGUUGUUUAUUAAGUCGGAUGUGAAAUCCCGGGGCUCAACCUCGGAACUGCAUUCGAUACUGGUAGACUAGAGUUCGGGAGGGGUAAGCGGAAUUCCGUGUGUAGCAGUGAAAUGCGUAGAUAUACGGGGGAACACCUGAGGCGAAGGCGGCUUACUGGACCGAUACUGACACUGAGACUCGAAAGCGUGGGUAGCAAACAGGAUUAGAUACCCUAGUAGUCC
rnacentral:rRNA from 1 species